AAGCAGGGGAUCGUAAGACCUUGCGCUUUUGGAGUGGCCGAUGCCUGAUUAGCUAGUUGGUGGGGUAAGGGCCUACCAAGGCGACGAUCAGUAGUUGGUCUGAGAGGACGACCAGCCACACUGGGACUGAGACACGGCCCAGACUCCUACGGGAGGCAGCAGUGGGGAAUUUUGGACAAUGGGCGAAAGCCUGAUCCAGCAAUGCCGCGUGAGUGAAGAAGGCCUUCGGGUUGUAAAGCUCUUUCAGUCGAGAAGAAAAGGUUGCGACUAAUAAUCGCAACUUAUGACGGUAUCGACAGAAGAAGCACCGGCUAACUACGUGCCAGCAGCCGCGGUAAUACGUAGGGUGCGAGCGUUAAUCGGAAUUACUGGGCGUAAAGGGUGCGCAGGCGGCUCUGUAAGUCAGAUGUGAAAUCCCCGGGCUUAACCUGGGAAUUGCGUUUGAAACUACAAAGCUUAG
rnacentral:rRNA from 1 species